rnacentral:rRNA from 1 species
UACGAAGGGGGCUAGCGUUGUUCGGAUUUACUGGGCGUAAAGCGCGUGUAGGCGGAUUUGUAAGUUGGGGGUGAAAUCCCGAGGCUCAACCUCGGAACUGCCUCCAAAACUACAAGUCUGGAGCAAGAUAGAGGCAAGUGGAAUUGCGAGUGUAGAGGUGAAAAUUCGUAGAUAUUCGCAGGAACACCGGUGGCGAAGGCGGCUUCCUGGACCGACACUAGCGCUGAGGCGCGAAAGCUAGGGGAGCAAACGGG